UUAUUUUCGAAGCAAUAGAGGUUUGAGGCAAGAGGAUUCUUUGUCUCUAUUAUGUGAUUGUUAUGGAGGCAUUCAAUAGGAUACUCGAGAAAGUUGUGGGAAAAGGUUUGAUAAGGGAUUUUACGAUUGGACACUUACAGGUUUCUCAUUUGCUAUUUACAAAUGACACACUGAUUCUAAGCGAUGCAGAUGAUGAACAGCUUAGAAACUUACGUUGGCCACUUCUAUGCUUUGAAACGGUGUCGGGAUUGAAGAUUAAUUUGAGAAAAUAUGAGACUAUUCUAGUGGGAGAGGUUGCUAACGUGGAUGAGUUGGCCAAUAUAUUGGGUUGUAGGAUUGCGUUGUUGCCCUUGUCGUACCUUGGGCUCCUUUUAGGAUUUAAAAUUAAACAUAUCUUGGAUGUAAUUGUUGAAAGGAUGAAGAAGAGGUUUGUGAGGUGGAAGCGUAUGUACCUUUUGAAGGAAGGCCGCCUUGCUCUCAUUAAAUCCACCAUCUCUAAUCUCCCUACUUAUUUCUUGUCAUUAAUUCCUAUUCCUGUUACAAUGGCAAAUAGAUUAGAGAGGAUUCAAAUGGAGUUUCUCUUAGCAAGGUUAAGGAAAGAGAAGAAAUUUCAUUUGAUUAAUUGGGAUGUGGUCUGUUCUCCUGUAAGGAUGGGGGUCUUGAAUUGAGGAGUCAUGUUCUGUUUAAUAAGGCUUCAUUGGGCAAGUGGUUAUGGCAAUUUGGAGUAAAGAGGGAGAUGUUUUGGAGACAAAUCAUAGAAGCCAAGUAUGGUGUGAUGGAGGGGGUUGGUGCUCUGUCGAUGGUCGUGGAUCUUAUGGGGUGAGCUUGUGGAAGCAUAUUCGACAAGGAUGGAAUGACUUUUGAGAGAAAUUGACUUGUGUGGUGGGAAAUGUCAAUGGCAUCAGAUUUUGGGAUAAUUGUUGGUGUGGAGAUCAUCCGCUAAAGGCAAGGUUUCCUUCUUUGCAUCACAUUACUUUGGAGCCUUCCACUAAGGUGAACGAUGCACUAGCCAUACAUAACGGAAGUUACAACUGAAAUAUUGCUUUUGAGAGGGGUUUACAAGAUUGGGAAUUGGAUAAUUAUGCACUGUUUUUGACAUCCUUGCAAGAAGCGCAUAUUCAAGUAGGAGAGGUUGAUCGUAG
rnacentral:lncRNA from 1 species